ACGGCGAGUGAAGCGGCAACAGCUCAAAUUUGAAAUCUGGCUCUUUCAGAGUCCGAGUUGUAAUUUGCAGAGGGCGCUUUGGCUUUGGCAGCGGUCCAAGUUCCUUGGAACAGGACGUCACAGAGGGUGAGAAUCCCGUACGUGGUCGCUAGCUAUUGCCGUGUAAAGCCCCUUCGACGAGUCGAGUUGUUUGGGAAUGCAGCUCUAAAUGGGAGGUAAAUUUCUUCUAAAGCUAAAUAUUGGCCAGAGACCGAUAGCGCACAAGUAGAGUGAUCGAAAGAUGAAAAGCACUUUGGAAAGAGAGUCAAACAGCACGUGAAAUUGUUGAAAGGGAAGCGCUUGCAGCCAGACUUGCUUGCAGUUGCUCAUCCGGGCUUUUGCCCGGUGCACUCUUCUGCAGGCAGGCCAGCAUCAGUUUGGGCGGUGGGAUAAAGGUCUCUGUCAUGUACCUCUCUUCGGGGAGGCCUUAUAGGGGAGGCGACAUACCACCAGCCUAGACUGAGGUCCGCGCAUCUGCUAGGAUGCUGGCGUAAUGGCUGUAAGCGGCCCGUCUUGAAACACGGACCAAGGAGUCUAACAUCUAUGCGAGUGUUUGGGUGUCAAGCCCGAGCGCGUAAUGAAAGUGAACGGAGGUGGGAACCCGCAAGGGUGCACCAUCGACCGAUCCUGAAGUUUACGGAAGGAUUUGAGUAAGAGCAUGGCUGUUGGGACCCGAAAGAUGGUGAACUAUGCUUGAAUAGGGUGAAGCCAGAGGAAACUCUGGUGGAGGCUCGCAGCGGUUCUGACGUGCAAAUCGAUCGUCAAA
rnacentral:rRNA from 1 species